GCACCACAUAGUUUAGAUCAUAAAUCUUCUUUAGAAGAGAAGAAGUCUGGGCGUUGUUUGGUGGAAGCUGUGGUUUCACCUCAUUGUGAUGCA
rnacentral:tRNA from 1 species